rnacentral:siRNA from 1 species
AUGGAUGUUCUCAUUUAGGCUA